rnacentral:rRNA from 1 species
UAACCUGCCCAAGAGACUGGGAUAAUACCUGGAAACAGAUGCUAAUACCGGAUAACAACACUAGACGCAUGUCUAGAGUUUAAAAGAUGGUUCUGCUAUCACUCUUGGAUGGACCUGCGGUGCAUUAGCUAGUUGGUAAGGUAACGGCUUACCAAGGCAAUGAUGCAUAGCCGAGUUGAGAGACUGAUCGGCCACAUUGGGACUGAGACACGGCCCAAACUCCUACGGGAGGCAGCAGCG